CCUACGGGUGGCAGCAGUGGGGAAUAUUGCACAAUGGAGGGAACUCUGAUGCAGCGACGCCGCGUGAGUGAAGAAGUAAUUCGUUAUGGAAAGCUCUAUCAGCAGGGAAGUAAGUGACGGUACCUGAAAAAGAAGCUCCGGCUAAAUACGUGCCAGCAGCCGCGGUAAUACGUAUGGAGCAAGCGUUAUCCGGAUUUACUGGGUGUAAAGGGAGAGUAGGGGGGUGGGCAAGUCCGAAGUGAAAACCAGAAGCUCAACUGUGAGAAUGCAUUAGAAACUGCUCAGCUAGAGUACAGGAGAGGUAAGUGGAAUUCUUGGUGUAGCGGUGAAAUGCGUAGAUAUUAGGAAGAACACCGGUGGCGAAGGCAGCUUGCUAAACUGUAACUGACACUGAGGCUCGAAAGCGUGGGGAGCAAACAGGAUUAGAUACCCUUGUAGUC
rnacentral:rRNA from 1 species